UACGUAGGCUGCGAGCGUUAUCCGGAAUUACUGGGCGUAAAGAGAUGCGUAGGCGUCCAAACUAGUCUUUAAUUAAAGGCACAAGCUCAACUUGUGUAUGGUUAGGGAAACUGUUUGGAUUGAGGGAGACAGGGGAAGAUGGAACUUCUGGUGGAGUAGUGAAAUGCGUUGAUAUCAGAAGGAACACCAAAAGCGAAGGCAAUCUUCUAGGUCUUUUCUGACGCUAAGGCUCGAAAGCGUGGGUAGCAAAACGGAUUAGAUACCCGUGUAGUCCACGCUGUAAACGAUGGAUGCUAGAUAUUUGUAUUGGUAGGAUUUAUCCUAUAAAUAUGAGUGUCGCAGCUAACGCAAUAAGCAUCCCGCCUGGGGAGUACGACCGCAAGGUUAAAACUCAAAGGAAUUGACGGGGACCCGCACAAGCAGUGGAUCGCGUGGUUUAAUUCGAUGCUAAUCGUAAAACCUUACCAGGGUUUGACAUGUUAGAGAAUCCGCCUGAAAGGGUGGAGUGCCGCAAGGAACUCUUUCACAGGUUCUGCAUGGCUGUCGUCAGCUCGUGUCGUGAGAUGUUGGGUUAAGUCCCGCAACGAGCGCAACCUUUAUCUGGUGUUAUAAUUUCUCCAGAAACUGCACCGUUACAACGGUGAGGAAGGUGAAGAUGAUGUCUAGUCAUCAUAGACCUUAUGUCCUGGGCAACACACGCGAUACAAUGGGAAAGACAAUGAGUCGCAACAUCGUAAGGUGAAGCUAAUCUCCUAAACUUUUUCUCAGUUCGGAUUGAGGGCUGCAAUUUGCCCUCAUGAAGUCGGAAUUGCUAGUAAUCGCGGAUCAGCAUGCCGCGGUGAAUACGUUCUCGGGUCU
rnacentral:rRNA from 1 species